GAUGAACGCUGGCGGCGUGCCUAAUACAUGCAAGUCGAGCGAACAGACGAGGAGCUUGCUCCUCUGACGUUAGCGGCGGACGGGUGAGUAACACGUGGAUAACCUACCUAUAAGACUGGGAUAACUUCGGGAAACCGGAGCUAAUACCGGAUAAUAUAUUGAACCGCAUGGUUCAAUAGUGAAAGACGGUUUUGCUGUCACUUAUAGAUGGAUCCGCGCCGCAUUAGCUAGUUGGUAAGGUAACGGCUUACCAAGGCGACGAUGCGUAGCCGACCUGAGAGGGUGAUAGGCCACACUGGAACUGAGACACGGUCCAGACGACUACGGGAGGCAGCAGUAGGGAAUCUUCCGCAAUGGGCGAAAGCCUGACGGAGCAACGCCGCGUGAGUGAUGAAGGUCUUCGGAUCGUAAAACUCUGUUAUUAGGGAAGAACAAAUGUGUAAGUAACUAUGCACGUCUUGACGGUACCUAAUCAGAAAGCCACGGCUAACUACGUG
rnacentral:rRNA from 1 species